rnacentral:rRNA from 1 species
GCAGCAGUAGGGAAUAUUGGUCAAUGGAUGGAAGUCUGAACCAGCCAUGCCGCGUGCAGGAAGAAGGCCUUCUGGGUUGUAAACUGCUUUUGCCAGGGGCUAAAAGGCCCAUGCGUGGGAAAUUGAAAGUACCUGGUGAAUAAGCCACGGCUAACUACGUGCCAGCAGCCGCGGUAAUACGUAGGUGGCAAGCGUUGUCCGGAUUUAUUGGGUUUAAAGGGUGCGUAGGCGGCUUAUUAAGUCAGUGGUGAAAUAUCGCAGCUUAACUGUGAGGGUGCCAUUGAUACUGAUGAGCUUGAGUACAGAUGAGGUAGGCGGAAUUGACGGUGUAGCGGUGAAAUGCAUAGAUAUCGUCAAGAACACCUAUAGCGAAGGCAGCUUACUAAGCUGUAACUGACGCUGAGGCACGAAAGUGUGGGGAUCAAACAGGAUUAGAUACCCUGGUAGUCCACACUGUAAACGUUGAUAACUCGCUGUUUGCGAUACACAGCAAGCGGCCAAGCGCAAGCGAUAAGUUAUCCACCUGGGGAGUACGCCGGCAACGGUGAAACUCAAAGAAAUUUGGACGG